rnacentral:rRNA from 1 species
CGCACGGGUGCGUAACGCGUAUACAAUCUGCCUCUUACUGCGGAAUAGCCCAGAGAAAUUUGGAUUAAUACCGCAUAGUAUUAUUGAAUGGCAUCAUUUAAUAAUUAAAGAUUACGGUAAGAGAUGAGUAUGCGUUCUAUUAGCUAGAUGGUAAGGUAACGGCUUACCAUGGCAACGAUAGAUAGGGGCCCUGAGAGGGGGAUCCCCCACACUGGUACUGAGACACGGACCAGACUCC